rnacentral:lncRNA from 1 species
GAUUCUCCUGCCUCAGCCUCCCAAGUAGCUGGGAUUACAGGCGCCCACCACUACACCCAGCUAAUUUUUUGUGGGGGUGUUUUUAGUAGAGACGGAGUUUCACCCACGUUAGUCAGGCUGGUCUCGAACUCCUGACCUCAGGUGAUCUGCCCGCCUUGGCUUCCCACAGUGCUGGGAUUACAGGUGUAAGCCACCGCGCCCGGCCAGUUUUUUUUUUUUUUUUUUUUUUAGAGAUGGGGUCUGGCUAUGUUGCCCAGGCUGGUCUGGAACUCCUGGCCUCAAGCCUCCACUUCCCAAGGUGCUGGCAUUACAGGUGUGAGCCAUUGUACCCAGCCCCAAAGUUUCAAAGCCAGUCGGUGGCAGAGCUGGGACUGGGGCCCAGGCUGAGCCUGAGGGUGCUCCCACCACAGUGUCGUGACUCUGGGCCAACCAAAAGCUCCUGUGUAGGAGAUGCUGGACCAAGUCGGGGGAUGGUCGGGUCUUCCCAGCAAGGUGGUUGAGCUGAGGGCAGAGGUGGGGUCCCCAACCUCUCUCCGGCCAUCAGUGCCUACGUGCCCCACCCUUAUAAGAGGGCAAAUUUUGUCUAACUCCAUCCUCUCAGAAUCAGAGCGCCUCAAAGCAAAGAGGGACUUCCUUCCUCAUCUUAUUUCCUUCUCUGGGGUGACAGGAUGAGAGAGGCAGAGGGACCCAGAAAGAUCCUGUCCCCCAUGCCAAGUGACACA